rnacentral:lncRNA from 1 species
UGGGGAGAAGGGAGAGGGAAAAGAAUUCUAUAAGCGAGACUGCAAGAGUGUAUGGUAGCUGAGAGGUAUCUAGUAGAGGUGGAUGCCAAUUCGGGGGAAGGAGGUGCAUGGGAUAGUGUAGAGGGGCUAGAGCGGCGGACGAUGGAGGAGGGGGGCAGGGGGGGGGACGGGGAACGGGGGAGCGAGCGUCUCGGAAGGGUGAGGCAGAUGGCUGUUUGUAAUCUCUUUGAAUAGCGCGUUUUCCAUCUACAAACUAAAUGCUCCGUUUAUUAACGUUGUGAUUUCACGACGUAACGCGCGGACCAACUUUGAGUUGCGGUAAUUGAAUGUUACGCGGAACACGGAAAGAGUCACGACGAUGAUGUAUCUAAUACAAGGAAACGGAGUUCCGCUUGUUAUUUAGUGAUGAAAGCCUUAUCGUAGCGAGAAGGUUGUAUCACACUUCAUAAAAUCUGUUUCAAGUAGAUGGGUGGGAUCGUACGAGUUGGACGAGAGAAGAGAAGAGAAGAGAAGAGAAGAGAAGAGAAGAGAAGAGGGAGACGAGGAAAACGUCAGAGACGGAGGAGAAGAGGAAGAGACGCAGUGGGGAAUUCGAGUCUGACUGUAUAAGGAGGAGGGUGGUACAAGAGGGUGGCUGAGGGUGCUACCCUCAGAUGGGUGUUACAGAGGGGUGCAGGGUGGUGGUAGUGCUGUGAUGGCGAAGUGACCUUGGCAGUCAGGAAUCCGGUCUGACAACAUGGAUCGACACAACCCACUGGCGUAAGAAUCCCUUCGUCCAUCCAUCUAUGCAUCCACUUAUUCGUCUGUGACGUCGUGGACUCACUAUCGACAUGCGUUAGAUAGAUAUUCUAUGUUCCAAUUAAAUUUAUUUCAAACUACGUAAACGCUCCAUUUUGAAUUUCUUUGAAAUCACACAGAUGAGGACGCUUUAAGAUUGUUUUUUGACAACAUGUACACGGUUUUGUCGCAAGCACGUGAGCAUUUACGCGUUCAUUAAUUUGAAACAUUGAUCUCGUUACAUUUUUUAUUAAUAAACGUCUAAUAUAACAUUAAAUUAUCAUUUUAUUAACAAUUGCAUUGUUAUAAACUAUUCUUGCAUAAGAGAGACAUGGCAAUUGUUUUUUUAUUUUAUUCUAAUUUUAUCACAAUAUCACAGCACAUCAUAUAUAUAUAUAUAUAUAUCACCGCAUACGACAUACAAUGAAGUAACGCAUGUAAUCUUAAGCAUUUGCACGCACUCACGAUAAAUUGUUAAUUUUGCUCUCGCUCUCUUCCGUUGCUUCAUCUGUCGCUCAGUCGAGCGCAACGGGUUCGUCAAAAUUUCGAAUGUAGGCUUACGUAUAUCUACGGUUAUAUUUACAUUGAACAGAUCUGGACGAAAAGGAACGAACGAAGCACGCGCCUGUGUUAUACGAGUUGAAUGGCCUUAAGGACUCAGGUGCGCGCACCAGGUGUUCGUCGUUUCGCGAGUAAACGUGCGAACGUGCGACAAGAAUGAAACUAUCAGAAAAAAAGGAAAAAGAGAGAUAGAAGACUAAGGCAUAACCGAAGGAGAGAGAUGAUCGAACAAGAACACAAGAUGAUAAGUGUGUGACUCAACAAGAACAUAUCUAAUUAUUUUAAAUAAACCAUUGUUUUGAAGAAUUUUACAAUUUCUUUUUAAUUAUUUAUGAAAAUCAAUUGCAACAUACAAAAAUCGAAUAUUGGAAAAAGAUGACAUUAAAGUCUCAUUUGUUUUCACGAGACAGAAAAAUAUACGCGUAAUAUAAAUCCAAUAGCGUUUGAAAUAUUCGAUUAUGACGCAGUCACAUAUAAAGACAUUAUGGAGUAAAAUCAGAAAGGUAAUCCAUAUAUCACAUUGGUUGUUUUUCAUUAAACUCUCUACAAUUUAAUCAAAUUCGAUAUUCUUUUUCUUCAUCAAUAAUGGAAUAUCAUAAAUGUAUCGACAAAAUCUAGCCUUAAGUAAUGUAAAUCAACUCAUGAUGAUUAGUCUUUGAUAUCGAGUGAUCUGUCAUAACACAAAUCUAAAAAUUGAUAAUUAUAAUAAGCAUUGAUAGAAAUUUAUACAAAUUUUGUUCAGAAAUAAUCAACCCCGUAUGUUCAUAAUGAGCAUUAAAUACAACAGAAUUAUAUAAUAAAUUAUAAAGAAUAAUUCACAAAAUAAAAAGACAUCAUUCA